GACAGAGGGUGCAAACGUUGUUCGGAAUUACUGGGCGUAAAGCGCGUGUAGGCGGUUAUGCAAGUCGGGUGUGAAAGCCCGGAGCUCAACUCCGGAAGUGCAUUCGAUACUGCGUAGCUAGAGUACUGGAGAGGAUGGUGGAACUCUCGGUGUAGAGGUGAAAUUCGCAGAUAUCGGGAAGAACACCUAUGGCGAAGGCAGCUCUCUGGGACGGUACUGACGCUGAGACGCGAAAGCGUGGGGAGCGAACAGG
rnacentral:rRNA from 1 species